rnacentral:rRNA from 1 species
GCUACUGCCAUCAGAGUUCGAUUAAGCCAUGUUAGUCGAGGGUACUUCUUCUUCUUCGGAGGAUGAGGUAACCCGGCGGACGGCUCAGUAACACGUGGAUAACUUGCCCUUGGGUCUGGGAUAACCCCUGGGAAACUGGGGCUAAUACCGGAUAGAGCAUCGAUCGCUGGAAUGCAUGAUGCUCGAAAACUACGGUGCCCAAGGAUAGGUCUGCGGCUGAUUAGGUUGUUGUUGAUGUAAUGGACCAACAAGCCUACGAUCGGUACGGGUUGUGAGAGCAAUAGCCCGGAGAUGGGUUCUGAGAAAAGAACCCAGGUCCUACGGGACGCAUCAGGCGCGAAAACUUUACAAUGUGCGAAAGCACGAUAAGGGAACUCUGAGUGCCCCCUAAGGGGGCUGUUCUAGUGUCUAAAAAGCAAUAGAAGUAAGGGCUGGGCAAGACCGGUGCCAGCCGCCGCGGUAACACCGGCAGCCCAAGUGGUAGCCACGUUUAUUGGGUCUAAAGCGUUCGUAGCCGGCUUGGUAAGUUCCUUGGUAAAUUUAGCCGCUUAACGGUUAAGCUUUCAGGGAAUACUGCUUGGCUUGGGACUGGGAGAGGUCAGAGGUACUCCAGGGGUAGGGGUGAAAUCCAUUAAUCCUUGGGGGACCACCGGUAGCGAAGGCGUCUGACCAGACCAGCUCCGACGGUGAGGGACGAAGGCUAGGGGCGCGAACCGGAUUAGAUACCCGGGUAGUCCUAGCUGUAAACGAUGCGGGCUAGGUGUUGGCAUUACUGCGAGUGGUGCCAGUGCCGAAGGGAAGCCGUUAAGCUCGCCAUCUGGGGAGUACGGUCGCAAGGCUUAAACUUAAAGGAAUUGGCGGGGGAGCACCACAACGGGUGGAGCCUGCGGUUCAAUUGGAUUCAACGCCGGG